AUGAAUAACAUUCUUUGUACCGGAUCUCCCUCUCUAGUACCUGUCGAACCAAGUCCAAACAAAGAUGGUACUUGAUGUCCCUUCGAAGGCCAUCAGGUAGGUCGCGAAUCAUCUCACACUCGUUUACUCCACGCGUCGCCGCCCAACUUUGGCGCUCGUAGUUUCGAACUCUUUGUCGAAGUAUGUGAGGAAGGUGUUUCCUACUCAUCCACCACUCUAAGUUUCUCAUUUUUAACUGCAUCCCUUGUUUCUUUGAUGUUGU
rnacentral:lncRNA from 1 species